CCCUUAGAUGUUCUGGGCCGCACGCGUGCUACACUGAUGCAUUCAACGAGUCUAAAACCUGGUCUGAUAGGGCUGGGUAAUCUUUUGAAAGUGCAUCGUUAUUGGGAUAGAUGAUUGCAAUUCUUCAUCUUCAACGAGGAAUGCCUAGUAAACGCAAGUCAUCAGCUUGCAUUGAUUACGUCCCUGCCCUUUGUACACACCGCCCGUCGCUCCUACCGAUUGAAUGAUCCGAUGAAUACCAUGGAUUGAGAGUACGAAUAGGUUCGCUUAUUUCUGCUGCUCGAGAAGUGGAGUAAAUCUUAUCAUUUAGAGGAAGGAGAAGUCGUAACA
rnacentral:rRNA from 1 species